rnacentral:lncRNA from 1 species
GUAUCUGGCAGUGCUGUGGCUGUCCAGCCUUGAACCGUGACAGCGGUCUCAGCUCUCUAAGACCUCAUGAUUUUUUUUUUUUAAUUUCUCUUGCGUUUAUCAUAUUGACUGUCAUAUUUAUAAAAGAUAAUUCUUAUUUCCAGAAUUUAUAAUUUUUUGGCUUUUAUUUCUUGUUGACAUGAACCUUCUCCCGCCGCCCCCCUCCCCCCC